UCGAAACACCGAUUUCCCCCAGCCCCUUAGCAGAUGGAUCAGAUAGCCUUUAAUGAUCUUCUCUCCUUACGAGGUAGACAUAAGGCACGUUUUCCUAGAUAUCCUCCCCACCCCCCCGUAAAGCGGUACCCUUUAAAUCCUGCAGCCAAGAAGUUCAUAUGCUCAAUGGAUGACAAAGUAAGGCUGCAGUAUGAGAGUGCGAAGAGUUUUUUUCCAGACCAGCUUCAUUCAGGUGUCCUACAUUAG
rnacentral:lncRNA from 1 species